ACCUGGUUGAUCCUGCCAGUAGUCAUAUGCUUGUCUCAAAGAUUAAGCCAUGCAUGUCCAAGUACUGCCGUAUUAAAGAAACCGCGAAUGGCUCAUUAAAUCAGUAUGGUUCCUGGAUCGUACCCUACACUUUGGAUAACUGUGGCAAUUCUAGAGCUAAUACAUGCAGAGAGCUCCGACCUUCGGGAACGAGCGCUUUUAUUAGACCAAAACCAAUCGGGCCUCACCGUACUUUGUGUGACUUGUAUAACUUUGGCGCGAUCGCACGGGCUCGUCCCGGCGACGUAUUCGUCGUCUGCCUUAUCAACUGUCACGCGCCUACCAUGGUCGUAACGGUGACGGGAAUCAGGGUUCGAUUCCGAGAGGAGCCUGAGAAACGGCUACCACAUCCAAGGAAGGCAGCAGGCGCGCAAAUUACCCACUCCCAGAACGGGGAGGUAGUGACGAAAAAUAACAAUACGGACUCUUUGAGACCCCAAUUGAAUGAGUACACUCUAAAUCCUUUAACGAGGAUCCAUUGAGAGCAAGUCUGGUGCCAGCAGUCGCGGUAAUUCCAGCUCCAAUAGCGUAUAUUAAAGUUGUUGCGGUUAAAAGCUCGUAGUUGGAUCUCAGAUCCGGCCGGACGGUCCGCCUACCGGUGGUUACUGCUCGUUGCCGAUCGUUCAGGCGGUUAUUCUUGAUGAUCUUCACCGGUUGUCUCGGUGACCGCCAAGUUUACUUUGAAAAAAUUAGAGUGUUCCAAAGCAGGCGUGACGCCUGAAUAAUUGUGCAUGGAAUAAUGGAAUAGGACCUCGGUUCUAUUUUGUUGGUUUUCGAACACGAGGUAAUGAUUAAGAGGGACAGACGGGGCAUUCGUAUUGCGACGCUAGAGGUGAAAUUCUUGGACCGUCGCAAGACGAACUACUGCGAAAGCAUUUGCCAAGAAUGUUUCAUUAAUCAAGAACGAAAGUUAGAGGUUCGAAGGCGAUCAGAUACCGCCCCAGUUCUAACCAUAAACGAUGCCAGCAGCGAUCCGGCUGUGUUCCCAAGACACGCCGGCAGCUUCCGGGAACCAAAGCGGGUUCCGUGGGAAGAUGGUGCAAAGCUGAAACUUAAAGGAAUUGACGGAAGGGCACACAGAAAUGGAGCCUGCGGCUUAAUUUGACUCAACACGGGAAAACUUACCCGGCCCGGACACAGGAAGGAUUGACAGAUUAAGAGCUCUUCUUGAUUCUGUGGGUGGUGUGCAUGGCCGUUCUAGUUGGUGGGGCGACUUGUCUGGUUAAUUCCGAUAACGAACGAGACUCUAGCCUACUAAAUAGACGUUCCCAUCAUCUUCUGUGGGACGUUCUUCUUAGAGGGACAAGCGGCGUUUAGCCGCACGAGACAGAGCAAUAACAGGUCAUGCCCUUAGAUGUCCGGGCCGCACGCGCGCUACAUUGAAGGAAUCAGUGUGCUUUCCCGUCCGAGAGGACUGAACCUGAACCUCCUUCGUGCUGGGGAUUGGAAACUGUAUGAUUCCAUGAACGAGGAAUUCCAGUAAGCACGAGUCAUCAGCUCGUGUUGAUUACGUCCCUGCCCUUGUCCACACCGCCCGUCGCUACUACCGAUUGAAUGAUUUAGUGAGGUCUUCGGACUGGCGCUCGGAUUGGCUUCGUGGUCAGCGGUGCCGGAAAGAUGACCAAACUUGAUCAUUUAGAGGAAGUAAAAGUCGUAACAAGGUUUUCGUAGGUGAACCUGAAAGGAUCAUU
rnacentral:rRNA from 13 species